rnacentral:rRNA from 1 species
UACGAGGGGUGCAAACGUUAUUCGGAAUUACUGGGCGUAAAGGGUGCGUAGACGGCGAUGCAAGUCGAUUAUAAAAUCUCUCGGCUUAACUGAGAGUCCGUGAUCGAAACUGCAUUGCUAGAGGGUGGAAGAGAGAAGUGGAAUUCUCGGAGUAGCGGUAAAAUGCGUAGAUCUCGAGAGGAACACCGAUGGCGAAGGCAGCUUCUUGGUCCAUUUCUGACGUUGAUGCACGAAAGCGUGGGGAGCAAACAGG